CCUUGCCAGCCCGCUCAGAACUUAAGGAAGUUGACGGGGCCCGCACAAGCGGUGAGCAUGUGGUUUAAUUCGAUGAUACGCGAGGAACCUUACCUGGGCUCAAAUGUAUGUUGACGUAUUCUGAAAGGGAUACUUCUUCGGACAAUAUACAAGGUGCUGCAUGGUUGUCGUCAGCUCGUGCCGUGAGGUGUCGGGUUAAGUCCCAUAACGAGCGCAACCCCUAUCAUUAGUUGCCAUCAGGUCAAGCUGGGGACUCUAAUGAAACUGCCUACGCAAGUAGUGAGGAAGGUGGGGAUGACGUCAAAUCAGCACGGCCCUUACGUCCAGGGCUACACACGUGCUACAAUGGCCGGUACAAAGGGCAGCUACCUGGUGACAGGAUGCUAAUCUCAAAAGCCGGUCUCAGUUCGGAUCGGAGUCUGCAACCCGACUCCGUGAAGCUGGAAUCGCUAGUAAUCGCGCAUCAGCCAUGGCGCGGUGAAUACGUUCCCGGGCCUU
rnacentral:rRNA from 1 species